GCAUUAUACCGUGAAACUGCGAAUGGCUCAUUAAAUCAGUUAUCGUUUAUUUGAUAGUACCUUACUACUUGGAUACCCGUGGUAAUUCUAGAGCUAAUACAUGCUAAAAACCCCGACUUCGGGAGGGGUGUGUUUAUUAGAUAAAAAACCAACGCCCUUCGGGGCUCCUUGGUGAUUCAUGAUAACCUCUCAGAUCGCACGGCCUUGCGCCGGCGACGGUUCAUUCAAAUUUCUGCCCUAUCAACUUUCGAUGGUAAGGUAUUGGCUUACCAUGGUUUCAACGGGUAACGGGGAAUUAGGGUUCGAUUCCGGAGAGUGAGCCUGAGAAACGGCUCACACAUCCAAGGAAGGCAGCAGGCGCGCAAAUUACCCAAUCCCGACACGGGGAGGUAGUGACAAUAAAUACUGAUACAGGGCUCUUUUGGGUCUUGUAAUUGGAAUGAGUACAAUUUAAACCUCUUAACGAGGAACAAUUGGAGGGCAAGUCUGGUGCCAGCAGCCGCGGUAAUUCCAGCUCCAAUAGCGUAUAUUAAAGUUGUUGCAGUUAAAAAGCUCGUAGUUGAAUCUUUGGCCUGGCUGGCGGGUCCGCCUCACCGCGUGCACUUGUCCGGCCGGGCCUUCUCUUCUGGAGAACCGCAUGCCCUUCACUGGGCGUGUUGGGGACCAGGACUUUUACUUUGAAAAAAUUAGAGUGUUCAAAAGCAGGCCUUUGCUCGAAUACGUUAGCAUGGAAUAAUAGAAUAGGACGUGCGGUCCUAUUUUGUUGGUUUCUAGGACCGCCGUAAUGAUUAAUAGGGACAGUCGGGCAUCAGUAUUCAAUUGUCAGAGGUGAAUCCUUGGAUUUAUUGAGACUAACUACUGCGAAA
rnacentral:rRNA from 1 species